UCCACACGGCUGGCAGCCAGAGCUCCCCGAUGGCUGCAGGACAUCCCGCUCUCAACUGGGGGGGCCCAGUGUGCUACUGCCCCAUCGGGGCGUCGUUUCCUUUCCUGCCAGCUGCUCUCCACUGCUGUCCUGGCAUGGGUGGUGGACACACUGUGCUUGGGAUCCGGUGCUGCUGCACCCCUUUCUCCGGUCACAGGGGCAUCACAAUAGGGCGCAGGGUGCAUCUCUCCUCUGAGCAGAUGCCAUAGGCUGCUGGGCAUGGGUGAGGCGAGUGAGACGCCUCGGUAGGUGCAGAUGGCUCCUGUUCGCUGAAGGUGGCACGGCAGGAGAGCUGAGAUCUGAGGUUUGCAAUGCAGAGGCUACAGUGAGGGCUUUGCCUGGUCAUGAGGGCUGUGGUGGUGUUAUGACCACGGUCAGUGUGUGCAGUCAGCCACGGGUGCACAGACACCCAGCAGCAGGUGGGCCCCAAAGCAGGGCAGUGGUACUGAGGCUCCCCUGCUUGGGCUUGCUGGCGAGUAGUAAGGAAAGUGGCUUAAGAACCUUAUUCCGCUGAAGUGAAGGUGAGGGAAGGAUGCUGAUGGAGGGGGGGGAUGUCUCUGUGGAGAGGGGGCAAAGUUGGGAAUUGCAGGGAGGGGUUUACAGUCAGUGUAGGGGACAGAGCUCUUCAGGAGCAAUUCCCUUGGGGCAAGUCAAGGGAGCAGGUUAGUUCUCAACAUGAUGUGAGAACUGUGCCAAGGAAAGCAGUUCCAGCAUGUGUCUGUGUUGUAUAAACUCUGUUAGUCUGUCUUCUGCAUUGUACACUGUACCUUCCUUGGGUCUUGAUGUCUCCAUAGCUCUUAGUGAUCACUAGGCACCUUGGUAGCCUUCCUGCAAGUUGCAAGUGCAUUGCCACAUCAGCUUAGUGCCUGUCAAGCCUUUCUUGUCUUGCAAUUCCAGCUUAAGGUGUGGAUCUCUCUGGUGUCUAUCAUAUUGUAGAUUUUUCUGAGCAGUCAUCCCUCACAGUGGUGAGCCAGGUAGGGCCUUCACUUCCAUUUCUGUGAGGUUUUUUUUGACAGAGUUGUCUCCAGGGAUUGCGUCCCCAUGUCCAUAACAGUCUUUUGUUAAAGCUUGGCUUCUUGCUCAUCCAUCAUUCUUCUUUUGAUGGCUCUCAUCCACAUCUCCGCUGGUGGCCGUAGCAGUCACCACUUUCCGGGGCUGCUGUAGAGGACCUGCACUGUCAUGGCACUGUUGGACUUCUCUGCUGGUGGGUGCCAUAUUCCCUGUGGAGGUCAUUGUUGCUUGUGCACUUAUCGCAUCUCACAGUCACAGUGCUUGUGGUGUUGGGCGUCUGUGUCUGUUGGGGCUGCCCUGCCCAAGGGUGUAGCGAUACUAAAGACAGGGUAGCACAGCCUCAGGGUGGUGUAGUAGUAUGUUGAUCUGUCUAGAUACUUUUGGCAAAGACCAUACGAUUCAUCUCUGGGCUGUAGACAGUGGGAACAGUUAUCUUUGUCUUUUGAGGGUGCCAGGCUCUGACCUUCAGGGAGCAGUAGCUGGUAUGGUAAUGGAGUGGCUGGAUCUUGAAUGUGCUUUGCCUUAUACAGGUGGAGCUCAAUAUCUGGGUUCUUUUAGCUGUGUUAGCGUAGAGUAAGCUAGAACUGGACAAAGUCAAUGUUUGAUAGACCUUUACUUGUCAUGGAUUUCAAAAACAAAAUGUGAAUUUGAGUGCUCAGGUAUUUCUAAUGAAUUUUUAAAGCCCACAGGUUUUUAGUUAAGGUAAAAAACUCUACUUCUUUUCACUGCCCACUUGCUUGAUGAAUUGUUUGGUCAAAUCCUGGAAUUUUAUCUUUCAAGGUUUGGGAAAAAAGUUACAAUUAAAAGCCUCACAAAAAAGGCUUUGUGUUGAGUGUGAGGGCAUGAGAGUGCUGAUGAGGUUUUAUUUAACUGUAAAGGUUAACCAACAAUUUUAAAGUAAUUUUUUAAAAUUUCAUUAUGGUUUUCUUUGCAAGUGCACUUGUUUUCAUCCAGGCAAACACAGUUUAGUAGCUAGAAAGUUGCUAUUUUUCCAUGUUCUGUAGACAAAAUGGAAUUGUCUUCAGAAUUUGUAGUCUCUUACAGAAUGAGAUAGCCUGAGAAUUAAUAGGUGGGUGAUAUUGCACCGAAGUGUAGAACAUUUCAGUUUAGAUUGAAAUCCUGUUAAUAUUAUUGGAGUUCUCAGAUGAAAAUUUGAUCAAUGUAAUUUCCUAAGUCAGCUGUGAUUUCUAAAGAUCUUAUACAAUUAUAGGUUAAAAAAGGUGUGAGUAUGUGGAGUGUUUCAUAAUGCGGGUGUAUUUAGUGCCAGAGACAAAAUUGUGGCGAGUCAAAAUGCGAAUUGAAACAUUUUAGUGGUGUAUGUUACAUGAUGGUAAUAUAGAAAGCAAUGUUAGUGUCCUAAAACAUUCUUACGAGCAGGUGUUUAAGACAACUACAGAGGUAAACUAGCUUUGUGGUUAUUUCAGGGAUCUUUUUGUACCCAAACUCCUGAGCAGGAAGAAAACAUUGCUGAAGCUCUUGCUAAAGAAGUCUGAAUGGUGAAGAAUUAAUGCAGGGUAAAUUAUGUCGAAAAACAGUACUCUUGCUUUAAAGAGCAGAGAAAGCACUUUCCUUGCGUGGCAGUGGUCCUUGCAUAGUUAUAAUGAAACCCGUUGCAGCGCCAGCAGCUCUGUGCGCUGCUGUAUCGUUUAUAGCUGCGGCUCGACAGCUUUUACCAGCAGAGCCCGUCUCUGGGUGCGGCAGCGCGGGCCCGGGUGCCGGCGGUGGGCGCGGGGCGGUGCUGAGGGCUCGCACCAUGGCGGGCGCGGGCGGGCGGGCCGCCGCCUCGGCUACCUCGGAGUCUUACACGGGCCGCGGCUCUUCCACGCCGGGCGUGGGCGGGCGGGCGGAGCACACGCCCCGCUAUACCCUGGGGCUUCUGCAAACGCCACACAGCUCGGAGAGGACCGGCGGCUCCUCCGGCGGCGGGGCACCGCCGGGCGGCUCCAGCGGGGAAGGCCUCGCAGCCGGCCGGGCUGCCGAGAACAGCGCGGUGAAGCCGUCGGUGUCCGAAAGGGGAGAAUCAUAUUUUGGGGACAAAAGUUCCUGUGUAGAAAAUGCUAACGCAUUGAAUCUCACGAGUUCUUCUUCCCUGCGAGGCCUGAAUAGCACAUGUAUAGGAAAAACACCUCUCUCUUCUGGUAGAUCUGGUUGCAGAAGCCAUACCCCGCUUAUGGGAUGUUCGGUUACAUCCUCAUCUGCAGUUUCUGCUCAUACUGUUGCAUCAGUUAUUGUAGCUGUAGUUGAAGGAAGAGGCCUUGCCAGAGGUGAAGUAGGAAUGGCCAGUAUAGAUUUAAAAAAUCCUGAGAUGAUAUUAUCACAAUUUGCAGACAAUACAACUUAUGCCAAGGUUAUUACUAAACUCAAGAUUUUAACACCACUAGAAAUAAUAAUGUCAAACACUGCCUGUGAUGCAGGGAAUACAACAAAAUUAUUCAGUCUGAUAACGGAGCAUUUCAAGAAUGUGACUUUUACAACUGUCCAGAGAAAAUACUUCAAUGAAACAAAGGGUUUGGAGUACAUAGAACAAUUGUGUGCAUCUGAAUUUAGCACCAUUUUCAUGGAAGUCCAAUCAAAGUAUUACUGUCUUGCAGCUGCAGCAGCUUUGCUAAAAUACGUUGAAUUUAUCCAAAACGCCGUUUAUGCUCCUAAAUCACUAAAGGUUCGUUUCCAGGGGAGUGAGAAAACAGCUAUGAUAGAUUCAUCCUCAGCACAAAAUCUUGAACUAGUGAUUAAUAACAGAGAUUCUCGGAAUGGUCACACACUUCUUGGUGUUCUAAAUUACACUAAAACUCCUGGUGGAAGUCGAAGACUUAGAUCCAAUAUCCUGGAACCUCUAGUUGAUGCUGAAACAAUUAACACAAGACUGGACUGUGUUCAGGAAUUACUCCAGGAUGAGGAGCUCUUUUUUGGUCUUCAAGGAGUUAUCUCAAAAUUCCUGGAUACAGAACAACUACUUUCGGUUUUGGUACAGAUUCCUAAGCAGGAUACAGUUAAAACUGCUGAAUCAAAAAUAACUAAUUUAAUCUACCUGAAGCAUACCUUAGAACUUGUGGAGCCUCUGAAAGCUGCUUUAAGAAGCUGUAACACACAGCUGCUAAAGGCUUACUACAAUUCUCUUGAAGAUACAAGAUUUGGAAUUAUACUUGAAAAGAUUACAAGUGUAAUUAAUGAUGAUACAAGAUACACAAAAGGAUGUCUGAGUAUGAGGACCCAGAAGUGCUACGCUGUUAAGCCUAACAUCAAUGAAUUCCUUGACAUAGCUCGUAGAACAUAUACAGAAAUUGUUGAUGACAUAGCAGGUAUGAUAACGCAACUUGCUGAAAAGUACAGCCUGCCCAUGAAAACAAGUUUCAGCUCUGCUCGUGGAUUUUUUAUCCAGAUGAAUGCUGAUUGUUCAACAUUACCUAAUGGCCAGCUUCCCUCAGAAUUUACAAAGAUCACAAAAAUGAAAAACACAUACAGCUUCACUUCAGCAGAUUUAAUAAAAAUGAAUGAAAGAUGUCAGGAGUCCCUGAGAGAAAUAUAUCACAUGACCUACUUAAUAGUAUGUAAACUACUGAAUGAGAUCUAUGAACACAUUCAUUGCUUAUACAAGCUGUCCGACAUUGUGUCUAUGCUGGAUAUGCUGCUUUCAUUUGCCCACGCCUGCACUCUUUCCGAUUAUGUUCGUCCAGAAUUUACCGAUACUUUAGCAAUCAAGCAGGGAUGGCAUCCCAUUCUUGAAAAGAUAGCUAUGGAAAAACCUGUGUCUAACAACACGUACCUGACAGAGGGCAACAAUUUUGUCAUUAUUACAGGACCAAAUAUGAGUGGAAAAUCAACGUACCUGAAACAGAUUGCUCUCUGUCAAAUUAUGGCACAGAUUGAGGCGACUGUAAGGUUUUUCAUCUGCUGCUGGAAACGUGUGGGGCCCCAUCUGUGUGUCUUGAAGCCUCCCCAGUCUGUCUUCAGAGAAGCACAGUUGCAUGCCCUAAUUCUUUGGAGCACCAUAAUCCAAUCUAGCACCUUCUGCUAGAUUGAUAGCGAACGUUCUUCAAGUAUGCUGAUCAGACACGCGUCAGUCAUCCAAAAGAAACACAUGACUUUGAGCAUACUUAAAUUCCAUAGAGAAACAUGUUUCCAGACAAGUACAGUUAGUAGAUAAAUAAUCAACUACUUCAAAUAAAAGUAGUAUCAAAUAUUGCAAGGUUCUGUUACUAAAGUUAUAAAAGGAAACCAACUUUUUGUAAAGUCUUUACUGAGAUUUGUUCCUAUAUUCAGGAAUUCCUCAUGACUUUUUUCUUAAAAGUCUGGUAGCACUUGUCAAAGACCUAACUCUAUAGAAUGAAGCUACUUAGUAGUGGAGAAUAAAAUUUAUCCAUCAUUCAUUUGUGGGUUCAGUCUCCAAUAACUGCAAGUUCCUGAGGAAUUGCUCUCAAAACUGUGAGUUUAAUAUGAAUAAAGUGGACUGUGAAGUUUUUGGCAGAAGGUUCCUGUUCAGUAAAACUACUAUGCUUUGAAGUCUGAUAAAGGCAACACCAUCUCGAUUUUGGGAAACUAACAUUUCUUGGGAUUAGUAAAUCAGUGGCCACAGAAAUGUAAAACAAUCCUAGAGUUCAUUGUUUUUCUGCAUCCCUUGAGACUGACAAACAGCUUCAGGAGUAUAAUUUCUUACAAGUUUCACUGAUAAGCUUCUUUAAUUAUCCUAUCUAUAUAAUAACUUUUUUCUUAUAAAUUAAUGGUAGAACUUAAUCUUACAGAACUUUACCACGUAAGAUGCUUUCUCUGCUGUGCACAAAAACCAAAUGUAAAAGUAAUUUUUUUUCCCAGUGAUGUAGUCAGGCAAAUGUUUUAAUGAUGAGAGAAACUUGUAUUUUACUUGCUUUGUAGGUUCUUAUGUCCCAGCAGAGUAUUGUUCUUUUCGAAUCGCAGAGCAGAUUUUUACCAGAAUAGGUAUGGAUGAUGAUAUUGAAACAAAUGCAUCAACAUUCAUGAAGGAAAUGAAAGAGGUAUGAAAUAUAGCUAUCCAGGUCCAAGGCCCAUUUUUACUGUUGAGCUAAUAGAAAUUGUACUAGUCUAUUUCCACUGAAAGAGUAUAAUUUGAAAAACAGUCAAAAAUUCAGCCUUCCUCUCUUUUAUGAUAAACCGUAGAAAACUAGGCAUCUCUUAAAUAGAAAGAUAUUCCAGUGUGAAUAAAAAUCAGUGCUUUGUUGGAUAGUACUUUCAGUAUUUUUGGGUCAGCUUAGAUGUUAAAAUAUCAUUUGUCGGGGCCUAAGCUCUCUCAGUUUCCUCUCACAAACUGAUACCAUUUUGAAGGUAAGUGAUAUGUUCAGCGAAAAAGAGAAAGAAUGCUGUGGUGUGACACUUUGUUUGAUUAGAAUUGACCGCUGUUUGAAAGCUUUGAAAAGGUAAAAUUGCUGUAUCUCAAGAGAUUUUUUUUUUUUUAAUUUCUGCAUUAUGUUCCAUCUGAAUAACAAAAAAUUCCUUUUUAAAAAUCCACAUUAAUAGGUGUGAUAACACUUUGAAUCUUUUUCUAGAUAACGUACAUCAUACAAAAUGCUAAUGAUAAAUCACUCAUCAUUAUUGAUGAACUUGGCAGAGGUACCAGUGCUGAAGAAGGUAUUGGAAUUUGUUAUGCUGCUUGCGAAUAUCUGUUGAACCUAAAGGCAUUUACACUGUUUGCUACG